rnacentral:rRNA from 1 species
CCUACGGGAGGCAGCAGUGGGGAAUUUUGGACAAUGGGCGCAAGCCUGAUCCAGCAAUGCCGCGUGAGUGAAGAAGGCCUUCGGGUUGUAAAGCUCUUUUGUCAGGGAAGAAACGGUGGGGGCUAAUAUCCCUCGCUAAUGACGGUACCUGAAGAAUAAGCACCGGCUAACUACGUGCCAGCAGCCGCGGUAAUACGUAGGGUGCAAGCGUUAAUCGGAAUUACUGGGCGUAAAGCGUGCGCAGGCGGUUUUGUAAGUCUGUCGUGAAAGCCCCGGGCUCAACCUGGGAAUUGCGAUGGAGACUGCAAGGCUUGAAUCUGGCAGAGGGGGGUAGAAUUCCACGUGUAACAGUGAAAUGCGUAGAGAUGUGGAGGAACACCGAUGGCGAAGGCAGCCCCCUGGGUCAAGAUUGACGCUCAUGCACGAAAGCGUGGGGAGCAAACAGGAUUAGAUACCCUGGUAGUCCACGCCCUAAACGAUGUCUACUAGUUGUCGGGUUUUAAUUAACUUGGUAACGCAGCUAACGCGUGAAGUAGACCGCCUGGGGAGUACGGUCGCAAGAUUAAAACUCAAAGGAAUUGACGGNNGAGAGNGCGAGACGACGACGAGGGAGAGG